GAGCACGAAUUUGUUUAGUGGAGUGUAGCCUUUCCCCUUAAAGGCCUAGUUUAAGGAAUGUUUGGCAUGAUAAUCCCCAGUUGUGCAUAUCCUGCUAAUUGCACUGGUGUCACAGUAGGGGCCAAUUGACCUUACGACAGCGGCUUCUAAGCCACGCCCCCUGAUAUCAAGGGAGCGAACUCUGUCUAUGUCCGUCAAACAAACGAGGAAGUAAUGGCGUCUCGCGUCGUUUCGCUUUCCGAUAUUCCUGACAAAUUAUCAUACAUGUCACAUAACAAUGCGAAAAAAAUAGAAGUCAAAGGAAUUUGUAACUGGCUGCUACAUCGGAAGGCUCGAUAUAUCUUUAGAAAAUGACGAUAUCUAACAUUUACGGGGUGAAAUCUAUCCAAGUCAGAGAAAAUCGGAUAGCCGCCAUGUUGUCAACAUUGACAUCGAUACAAAGGAAAAGCGUGUGUGUGACGCAUACUGUAAAUGCAAACAAGGAAAUUGUGGAACAUGUUCACACACUCUGGCUGUAAAAGUAGACCUGGGAGGAAGAGUGCCCCCGGUGUGGGGCUCGAACUCACAACCACCAGAACACUAGCCCGGCGCUCUAACCAACUAAGCUGACCGGGCAGCUGGUUCUAACCCACACACACUACCCUCCCCCCAUUUACCGGUUAAGGCUGGUGGAGGGUCUCCUGCUAUUUACCGUUGACACCAUUAAAGUAUUCUGAUUGAUGGAGAUAAGGAAGUCCCCUUAUUAUUGUCUUCAACAAGCCUACCGCCACAGGGGACCUAGCAUCAGACCGGAAACCGCCCCCCCCCCACACACACACACAUGAUAUUUGCCAGUCCAGGCAAUAUCAACCGCAAGAGAAAACCAGUGAUGACAAGUUUUACAAAUAAUCGGAAAGUGUGGUCUUUUGAAGAGAGUUCUUGAAGUUGUUCAGCAUGUUGUUUUGAUGGAUUCUUGGAAGGAUGUACCUCUAUGAUGUUAGCUUCAGUUCUGGAGUAUAACACCAGUUGUUGCGUAUUUAAUAUCAGAUUUAUUAAAUACAUUGUUGUUUUGCAAACAUUACUUAAACUUUGAUAUUUCUUUGGUGUUUAUGUAUGAUGUUGUAGGUGAAUAUCUCUUUAUUGCAAUGGCAAAUAUAUUUUAAAAUAUAUAGCAUUAGCAGAAGUUAUUUUUCACUGUUAAAGCUGCACUUUCACAGAUUGAUCACUUUGACAACUUACACAGGAUUCGAUUGCAUUUAUCAUAUUUUGGCUCGGAGAAGUUUGCUUUGUGAUUUAUAUAUUAGGUCUUAAUUUAAAGAAUGCCAAAAUAAGCCGAUUCUGAGACAAAAAGUGUCAAACUAGAAUUCUGUGAGAGUGCAACUUUAAGAAUACUGUUAAUCGAGUGUGCAUGUGAUCCGGACUCUGAACAUUGGAUGAACUAUCAUUAAAUAUUGUAGAUUUACGUAAAUGGCCCAAAAUAUAAGAAUAACAAUGAAAAUAUGUA